rnacentral:lncRNA from 1 species
CCCCAUCUCCGAGCACCGCCGCCUCCGCCUCCGCCGCCGCCUUGCUGCCAGUGAGAAGAGAUCGGCGCAGGUUGCUGCCAGUGAGAAGAGAUCGGCACAGGCGAUGCGGUGGUGGGCAACUUCAAGAAGUCGAGUACUGCCAUACCAGCUGCUCCUUUGUAGGACCCAACCCUAGGUGCUUCUAUUGGUGGUGUUUUCCCCACCAACAAACACAGCUAGACGGCAGCGGCGGUGGUGGACGGGAUUGGGUGCCGGCUGUGCUCUCCCAUCUGAGUUGUAAUCGUCACCGCCAUCGUCAUCACUGCCGCCGCCACCGCUGUCACCAUUAGAAUCGAGGACAACUGAUGUCUGCUGCCAACAAAGUCCGCUGCAUAACCCACGGAAGAAUCGACCGCAACCAACCACUGCCGCUCAGAACACAAAUAGCCUGACAGAAAGGCCAAUAACAUCGACGAUGGUAAAUUCAGGUGUAGGUUAGCUAUUCCAAACUUCCAAUCUUGCUACAGCAACACAAGGCAUCAACAACCAUUAAGACCCUGUAAAUUCGAAAGAAUGCUUUUUGAUGCAGGGGGUGAUCAAGAUGGUGAUAUAUAUGAAAAAGGACUAGGACCUCAUAAGCUGCCAUUU